rnacentral:rRNA from 1 species
UACGUACUGGGCGAACGUUAUUCGGAAUCACUGGGCUUAAAGGGUGCGUAGGCGGCCUUCCAGGUCCGGUGUGAAAUCUCUCGGCUCAACCGAGAAAUCGCGCUGGAAACCGGAAGGCUUGAGUGUGCUAGGGGUGUGUGGAACUUCCAGUGGAGCGGUGAAAUGUGUUGAUAUUGGAAGGAACGCCGGUGGCGAAAGCGACACACUGGGGCAUAACUGACGCUGAGGCACGAAAGCUAGGGUAGCGAACGGG